rnacentral:lncRNA from 1 species
CGGUGAGUUCAGGCCAUUCAAUAAAAUCAUUAUAUAAGGAUUACAGAUAAUACACGUUAAGUGCCUACCAUAGUACCUGGCACACAGAAAAUGAUUUUAAUAAAUAUGAGUUAUUGUUAGUUUUAUUACCAUGUCCCUGGCACUGCUAGUUACUUUACUUAUAUACAUUACCUCUAAUCCUUCCAAUAAAUCUACAAGGUAGCUAUUACUAUAUUUAUUUUAUAGACAAAGGAAAAGAGGAAACAAAAGUGAAGGAGACACUCUCUGCCCUCACAAGCCUUAUCUAACGGAACCAAUAAUUUAACGGCACUAACGGCUAAAAGAGGUUUCAGAAGACACCAUCUGAAGCCAACUCUGACGACAUAGGCUUCCCCGGAGGAUCGGGCCCAACAAAUAGGUGUCAGUUAUUGAGGUGGAAAGGACAGGCAACAUUUCCAGAGGAAGGGCUCUCCAUGAGGUUUAGAACGCUGAAGUACAGGAAGGGAACUAGCAAGAACAGGACGGAGGAGGCUGAAGCCUGAUCUAAAUAAGGAAGUAGUUGGGAUAUAUACAGAGGCUGUCGAACAUGGAACUGCAUCUGAGAAACAGGCAGCAGCAACCAAAAGCAAAGCAGGGACUGAGAACAGGCAGGUUCCAAGAGCAAAAUGGAACUUGAAAGCCAAGUACGGUUCACUGUAAAGGAGAAAAUAUAGAAAUACAGAACUACAACACCUGGUCUGGGAUGUGUCUGCCAGUUCGCAAGGAAAGAAAAUGGAAAUCACUAGUCUUUUUUGGAGACUUUUACAAUGGCAGGCGUGUUGCUCAAUCAUCCAAGGCUCCAACAGAUUGAGAAUUUAUAAAGACUAGUGGAUUUAUUUUGGCCAAGGACUUCUCAUUUCACUCUUACAUAUUUCAAAAUCUUUG